AACGAACGCUGGCGGCAUGCCUAACACAUGCAAGUCGAACGGUAACUUCGGGUCUAGUGGCGCCCGGGUGCGUAACGCGUGGGAAUCUGCCCUUUGGUUCGGAAUAACAGUUGGAAACGACUGCUAAUACCGGAUGAUGACGAAAGUCCAAAGAUUUAUCGCCAGAGGAUGAGCCGGCGUAGGAUUAGCUAGUUGGUGUGGUAAAGGCGCACCAAGGCGACGAUCCUUAGCUGGUCCGAGAGGAAGAUCAGACACUCUGGUACUGAGACACGGCCCAGACUCCUACGGGAGGCAGCAGUGGGGAAUAUUGGCAAAUGGGCGAAAGCCUGAUCCAGCAAUGCCGGGUGAGUGAUGAAGGCCUUAGGGUUGUAAAGCUCUUUUACCCGGGGUGAUAAUGACAGUACCGGGAGAAUAAGCUCCGGCUAACUCCGUGCCAGCAGCCGCGGUAA
rnacentral:rRNA from 1 species